AUCGCCGCUUCCUUUUUUCUUUAUUCCCAUCUCGCCUCUUGCUUUUGCUUCUUUUCGCUCUUGUUCCUUUUGGCUCUUUUUAGCUCUUGUUUUCUUGGCCUUCGGUUAAAGUCGCUCUGGUUCCUUUUUGCUUUUUGAUGGAUAGAUCUGAAGUGGAAAAUUUCUGUGAUAAGUUGCUUAAAGAUUGUUAACUUUUUUGAUUGUUUGCUAUCAUCAUGGAGAAGUACAAUGACCAACCUUUUAAAGUUGGGCAACUGGUUGAGGCAAGAUCCUUCAUGAAGGGUUAUCGAGGCGCGUGGUUUCGUUGCAAGAUAGUAGAUACAAAAAGGAGAGAUGGGCACAUCAAUUAUGGAUUGCGUUAUCUUGAUUUUCCAGAUGAAAAGGAUAAACCGAUAAGAUUAUAUCAACUACCUCCAGUUGGACAUAAGAGAAGAAGUAGGGUUGAAAGAGAGUUGAUGCUGCGGCCUCCAUUUCCACCUAUCUACCAUGAGGGUCAAUUGCCUCCUGCCAAUGACACUUCAGAAGUCAUAGUUAUUACUGAAGCUAUUUGGAAUGUGGGUGAUCUUGUCGAUUGGUGGAAGGAUCAAUGUUUUUGGUCUGGAAAAGUUACACAAAUACUAGGCAAUGAAGAAGCCAUGGUUGAGUUGACCCCACCGCCUAUGGGUGAAGGCUCCUCAUAUAAAGCGUCUCUGAUUGAUCUACGCCCAUCUUUAGAUUGGUCACUGGAAGAUGGUUGGAAAUUGCCUGCUCCUAAGGAUGGUGCAAACCAUCGUCAAUGUGCACGACUUGUUGAUCCAGUGAAUCAGUCAGGUGGUAGGUUGGCAUUUGAAAUGCCUGUACAGGGUGAAGGAACAACAGAUGGUGAGGUUGCAUGUGGGUUAUCAUCUGCUCAAUCUCUUUCUUCUCAUGGUGCCGCAAAGUCAUUGCCAGCCUCAGAAAAGACGAAGACCUGUGGGGCAAGUGAGAUGCUGAAAGAAUCUGAGAGUUUUCCAAAGGAGGUGGUGGGCGCACAAGAAGAAAAUGUGAACUUGGUACCAGGGGAUAAUGGCUCUAGGAAAUUAAGUUGUUCAGAUGGUACUUAUCCUCAUGCUAGAGAUGGUUCAGCUGAAGCUGCAGGUCUAUCUCUUGGAGAAGACUUGUCUGAUUCUAGUUCUCCACAGAAGAAGCUGAGAAACAGUAUUGGGCUUCCUUUAAACUCCGCCAGGUCUGACACCCUAGAUGCUCUAAUUUUGGAUUUGGAAGAGCUUGCAAACAAAAUUAAAUGGCUCAAAAUCAUCUUAAAAAGAGGAUACCCUUUGUCCAAUGCUGUGGACACUUCAUGGAUGUUUGUUGAGCACCGUGUGCCUUCAAUGCCUUGGUGACUUCUUGAUAAGGAAGCGUGGUGUGUCUGUCUGGUUUAUGUGCUCGAUUGCAUCAAGGAUCCUUGUUGAUGGAUAGCAGAUGGCCUAAUAAAUAAAUAGGAGUCGAAAUGGAAAGAGUUAUAGAGAAGCCGACUUGAUGCACUUUUGAUCAAGGUUUUGAAUGUAAUUGAUUAGAUGACUUAUGAAAGUUGUAUAUUUUGGAGAAAGUGAUGUAUUUGGUAUCUUGUAAUGUAAAAAUUGAAUAUUUAUUA